rnacentral:rRNA from 1 species
CAGUAGCCGCGGGAAUACGGAGGGUGCAAGCGUUAAUCGGAAUUACUGGGCGUAAAGCGCACGCAGGCGGUCUGACAAGUCAGAUGUGAAAUCCCCGGGCUUAACCUGGGAACUGCAUUUGAAACUGUCAGGCUGGAGUCUUGUAGAGGGGGGUAGAAUUCCAGGUGUAGCGGUGAAAUGCGUAGAGAUCUGGAGGAAUACCGGUGGCGAAGGCGGCCCCCUGGACAAAGACUGACGCUCAGGUGCGAAAGCGUGGGGAGCAAACAGGAUUAGAUACCCGGGUAGUCCCUGUCUCUUAUAC